UGCGGAAUUUUAGAUAAUGGAGGGAACUCUGAUCUAGCGACGCCGCGUGCAGGAAGAAGGUCUUCGGAUUGUAAACUGCUGUGGUAAGGGAAAAAUGCUAUGUAGAGUGGAAAGCUACAUAGAGGGAUGGUACCUUACUAGAAAGCCCCGGCUAACUACGUGCCAGCAGCCGCGGUAAUACGUAGGGGGCGAGCGUUACCCGGAAUCACUGGGCGUAAAGGGAGCGUAGGUGGCCUAACAUGUCAACUGUGAAAACCCGGAGCUCAACUACGGACUUGCAGUUGAAACUGGUAGGCUUGAGGACGGUAGAGGAAGACGGAACUGCCAGUGUAGGGGUAAAAUCCUUGGAUAUUGGCAGGAACGCCGGUGACGAAGGUGGUUUUCUGGGCCGGUUCUGACACUGAUGCUCGAAAGCCAGGGG
rnacentral:rRNA from 1 species